UACAGAGGUCUCAAGCGUUGUCCGGAUUUAUUGGGCGUAAAGAGCGUGUAGGCGGUUUUACAGGUCCGCUGUGAAAACUCGAGGCUCAACCUCGAGCUGUCGGUGGAAACCGUAAGGCUAGAGUCCGGAAGAGGAGAGUGGAAUUCCUGGCGUAGCGGUGAAAUGCGCAGAUAUCAGGAAGAACACCCGUGGCGAAGGCGGCUCUCUGGGACGGUACUGACGCUGAGACGCGAAAGCGUGGGGAGCGAACAGG
rnacentral:rRNA from 1 species